AGCUCAGUGGUAGAGUGCAUGCCUAGCAUGCAUGAAGUCCUGGGUUCAAUCCCCAC
rnacentral:tRNA from 1 species